UCUCUUUUGUGGUAUUUCUGGAACCUUACCAAGGCAGUGAUGGUAUAUGCCUUCUCUCAAAGUAUGUGGUAUUUUUGGUAUGAGGCAUAGUGAUAUUGCCUUCUCUCUCAUCCUACUCUAAUAAGGUUUUGAUAUCUGGAGCUCAUAGGUGGGAGACAGCUAAUACAUACUUACAAGACAUUUAUUGCAUAAUCAAACCAUGGAUCCAGAAGAACAAGUCAAUAAGUCAAAUCAAGAUGUGCAUGUGUGGCGAGUGAAUGAUGUAUGGUGAUGAUGGUGAUAACAAUGGUGAAAGUCUAAUUCUACUUUUGCUCUUUUGAGGGGAUACAUACCUUUCUUGCACUUUGAAGCUUUUUGAGGAGAAUGAGAUGCUCUAUAUUUUAUUUUUCUUUCCUCUCAAGUGGGUAUCUUGUACCCCUAAUUCUACUGUCGGACACUUGUCCAUUUUUACCUCUCGUCUCACUUUUUCUUUUCUUCGAGGUUCCGGGCACUUGCCCCUUUUUAUUUCCUCGUAUCCUCUUUUUUU
rnacentral:lncRNA from 1 species